GGGGAUGACAGGGUUCGAUAGGUGGACCUAAGUUAUCUACUUACACACAUGUCGAGGUUGGAUAUUUUCCUCGUUAAUGCCAAUAUCCAAAUUCUAAGUGCAAACUUAGUAAGUCGAGUUAAAAACGCUGUUGCUUCUGCAUUCAGUGUUCCAACACUCGCAUCUGUAGUGGCUUAAUAAGCCUGCUACCAUCACUUCCGGGAUACUCGAUAUCGGGUCAGUGGUGUCAACUUAUCGAGCGUAGGCCAUAAUCCCCUCCUGUGGAUCAUGUCUGAACUCAAUUCAGGACUAGCUAUCCGUUAUUUUGCUGAUUUUCUAGCGAAUAGUGAAACACCAAAUCAGCUACGCAUGUAAUAGUGUGGUGGUAACCCAUCUACACCCGGGUUCAAUUCCCGGCAUCUCCACUC
rnacentral:tmRNA from 1 species